rnacentral:ncRNA from 1 species
GUGUUGUAUGAAAGGAGAGAAGGUUAACACUCCCCUUGACAAGGAUGGAAGAGGCUCUCUAGCCUGACAACAUGCAUACGGUUAAGGCAUUGCCACCUACUUUGUGGCAUCUAACCAUGUCAACUC